rnacentral:lncRNA from 1 species
GGUAGGUCUACUAAGCAGGGUGUGUGUGUGUGUGUGUCUGUGCACAUAUGCACCCAUAUUUGUCUUUUAACAGAAACCAACGGAAGAGAAAGGUUUAACGUUUAAAGCUUUAAAGGGCAAAACCGAAGACUACACAUUGAAGUAGAUGACAAAGACAGAUGAAAAACCAUUCAACUGAUACAGAACUCUGGACUUAGGAAGAUCACAGGGAAACUGUCACAAGUAUUGAAAUUGGAGGUUAAUAUAGGCACGGUCUCAAUAUUCACGUAUUAAAACUAGGUCACAGAGAAUGACUUGAUUAAGAUGACAGUCACCGGUGCAAUGAGGAGUAGAAUCAGUUGCAGUUUCACACCUGUCAGAAUUUCAGAAAAGUAGAAGGUACCAGUCAUGUCAUGUCAGAAGAGCUCCCCUUCCUCCUCCUCCUCUUCCUCAGCCUACUCAACAUGAAGACCUUUCUGAUGAUCCACUUCCACUUACUGUAUAGUAAAUAUAUUUUCUCUUCCUUAAGAUUUUCUUAAUAACACUGUCUUUUCUCUUACUUCAUUGUACAAAUACAGUAUAUAAUACAUAUAACAUACAAAAUAUGUGUUAAUUGACAGUGUAUGUUAUUGGUAAGCCUUCUGGUCAACAAUAGGCUAUUAGUAGUUAAGUUCUGGGGUAGUCAAGAGUUAUAUGCAGAGUUCUGACUCCACAAGAGGCUGGCACUCCCUAACCCCCAUGUUGUGUGCAAGGUCAACUGUAGACUAAGACAGGAACACACUGCUCUUUCUCAUUCCCAAAGAUGCUGAGCCCCACACCUCCAGGAAGCAUGAUACUGACAAUGUAGGCAUAAAUCUCAGUCAAAUCAUUCAUUAAUAACAGCUCAGGAGUUCAGUAUAUUCAUCCCUGCCUAGAGACUGUGAUAUGCCCCUUGUUAUUCAAUUCUGUGUAUAGUCCAGUCUCAAGAAGUUUUGUUUUUUAUGUUUGAGACAGGGUCUCAGUCUGUCACCCAGUCUUGAGUGCAGUGGCACAAUCACAACUCACU